rnacentral:lncRNA from 1 species
CCAGUCACCAUUUGAUCGGAAAUUGAUGGAAAUUUGAGCGUGUAACCAGCAUAUUAGGACGGCAGAACACCAUACCAACUUUCAAAUUUUAAAUUUUCAGAUUUCUAACAUUAUUUUCGUGUGUUGCAGGUUUAAGCGGCCUCGGGGGGUUGAGCGAGGAGGACCGGAUAGUAGCCAAGCUCGCGAAUAUCAUCAAAGAACGGGAGGAGAGAUGGUCGUCGACGUCCGACUCGGAUCCCGAGGGCGGGGAGAGGAGAGGAGAGGGGAGAAGGAGCGAGAGAGGGGCAGGAAACCGGGCCUCCUCUUCUCUUACCACUUCCCUAACCAAUCGCCCGAGAACAACGAGUCCCCUUUCGCCGUGCCCCCGACGGAUCCCAGAUAUCAUCAAAAUUUAGCUCCUGAUGCGUUGGCCCCGCAGUCCGAAUCGUCAGCGAGCAGGGGGUCUCAAAGAAACUACGUUGUAGACACUCAAAGAUAUGAGACUCCAAUUUCAAGAAACCCCAAUUCAGCGAAAACACGCCUUGCACACACCUUUGAGGACAGCCCGUACAGUGAGGGAAACAAAUACUCAUCGAAGGAAUCGGUUCCAAUGAGUAACAUGGGGCAGUUCUCUAGUAAAUCUUCGGACGAUGAAGAUGACGAAGAAAAUGAAGGUUCCAUGGACCAAAAGGAGAGCCCGUCGGAACCGUCGCCCCGGCCCGCUUCUACCAAUUCGAGAGGGUCAUCAAAACCCCACUAUUUCUAUCGACAGAAAACUGGGAUAGUAACGACAUGUAUUACAUGGGUAAGUGUCAACCUGUCACGGGUAUUUCUCUUUCCGUCUCCCGUCUCCUGGCCAGAUGACUGCUUUGACACAGUCGCCAGUUUUCCCUGAAAAUCAGCAUCAUUUCCUUAAGGGGCCGGUUCAAGUUAGAGUCCCUUUAUACCCAGAGUUACGACAGCUCAUUUUUCGUUGGGCUGAAGGUGGCCUAAAAAAAAAAUCCAAUUCUGAUUGGUUCUCGCUCAUGGAGUCACCAACCAGUGCACCAAGAUGG